rnacentral:rRNA from 1 species
UACGUAGGGGGCAAGCGUUGUCCGGAUUUAUUGGGCGUAAAGAGCGUGUAGGCGGCCGUACAGGUCAGCUGUGAAAACUCGAGGCUCAACCUCGAGACGUCGGUUGAAACCGUACGGCUAGAGUCCGGAAGAGGAGAGUGGAAUUCCCGGUGUAGCGGUGAAAUGCGCAGAUAUCAGGAGGAACACCGAUUGCGAAGGCAGCUCGCUGGGACGUUACUGACGCUGAGACGCGAAAGCGUGGGGAGCAAACAGG